AGUAACACGUGAAUAAUCUACCUUCGAGUGGGGAAUAACUGAGAGAAAUCUUAGCUAAUACCGCAUAAAACCUACGGGUCAAAGCAGCAAUGCGCUUGAAGAGGAGUUCGCGGCAGAUUAGUUAGUUGGCGGGGUAAUGGCCCACCAAGACGAUGAUCUGUAUCCGGCCUGAGAGGGCGCACGGACACACUGGAACUGAAACACGGUCCAGACUCCUACGGGAGGCAGCAGUGGGGAAUUUUGCGCAAUGGGGGAAACCCUGACGCAGCAACGCCGCGUGGAGGAUGAAAUCCCUUGGGAUGUAAACUCCUUUCGAUCGGGAAGAUAAUGACGGUACCGAGAGAAGAAGCCCCGGCUAACUUCGUGCCAGCAGCCGCGGUAAUACGAGGGGGGCAAGCGUUGUUCGGAAUUAUUGGGCGUAAAGGGUGCGUAGGCGGUUUGAUAAGUCACAUGUGAAAUCUUCGGGCUCAACCCGAAGUCUGCAUGCGAAACUGUCGGGCUUGAGUAUGGGAGAG
rnacentral:rRNA from 1 species